rnacentral:rRNA from 1 species
UUAGUUGCUACGCAAGGGCACUCUAAUGAGACUGCCGGUGACAAACCGGAGGAAGUGGGGAUGACGUCAAGUCCUCAUGGCCCUUAUGGGUAGGAUUCACACGUCAUACAAUGGUCGGUACAGAGGGUUGCCAAGCCGCGAGGUGGAGGCCAAUCCCAGAAAGCCGAUCGUAGUCCGGAUUGUUCUCUGCAACUCGAGAGCAUGAAGUCGGAAUCGCUAGUAAUCGCGGAUCAGCAUGUCGCGGUGAAUACGUUCCCGGGUCUU